rnacentral:lncRNA from 1 species
GUACACUUGCCUAACUCUUUCUGCAAUUAUAAAAGGAUCGUAGCGAUCAUACUCCCUCUUUUUAUUAACCUCAAUUAUGUUGUACUGCGAGUGUACAUUUGUACCUCUUUUAGGUGUUGGGUCAAACCACUUAAGCCAACCUGAAUAUGGCAAUCCUAGAAUCUCUUUGAUCACACCAUAAUAAUCGUUUCCCCCAUCAUGGUUGCCUUCACCGCCUUUGACCCACACCCCACUAUUAUUGAUUUUUUAAUACUUGGAGAAUUCCUCAGUGUGAAAUUUGUAACCAUUCACAAAAUACUUAGACAUAGUCGGAACCGUAGGUGCAGGUCCCCAAGAUAUGUCUUGCAAAAAUUUAUUAUCACCAUUGUUUGGAUUAUUGACCUACAUGUAGUGUUAAAUAAAUCACAAGUGAGCAAGUAUAUUCACAAGUAUGUAAUCACACGUGAGAGAGUAUGUAAGAUGUACUUACACAUUCUUUAAACCAUGCCUCAAACGUAGAAUAUACAGCAGCAUGACCAAAUUGACUCACGAAGUCACUGAGCGACACAUUGAAAAUUAUUUGUUAGAUGUAUCAACCAAAUUAAAUAGUAGCCCAUGUAAAUUAAUCUUACAUCAACACUUACUUAAGAAAGGGUUGAACUUUAUCAAUCAAAUUAAAUAGUAGUCCAUGUAAAUUAAUCUUACAUCAACACUUACUUAAGAAAGGGUUGAACUUUCGGACAAUUUAGUAACACAUGAUUCUAGACAAUGCAGGUAAGUUGGUAGAAUAUUAUGACUGACUAUUAAAUCUAAUCAAAUGCAUAGAAGAUAUAAGGAGAGUUUUAACUAUAUUUGACCAACCUCUAUAUUGAACAAAGAGAGGCUUUUCUAGAUUAUGGAACCACUAUUAAUAUCUUGACAAAUAGGCUUUAAUUUAUAUAUCAAGGGGUCAAAGAGGAUAUUUAUAAAUGAACUGCUACAUUUAUAAUUUUUAUGCUUUAGCAUAUACUGAAUUAGGUCAUUGGAUGCUGAAAUACGGGAAAAAAAUGGCAGAGUCGCUCAUCAACAUAAACUAUGAGAAGAAACCGUCCCUUAUGGGUUGUUAAAGCCUGCCCCUUUAUAGAAAAUUUUUUCGUAUCUAUGGUUUAGUUUGAUUUCUUGAAGUCUCUUGGUGUUUCCCUUUGUACUAUCUCUUUUUCACCUUUUCACUUUUUCAUAAAUGAGCUAAUGCUCAUGCUAAGUAUAACAUAUGUUCCCUAAGAAGAGAUAAAGUUUGUGGUUUACAAGAACUAAAGGGUUGUAUGAAUAAUACUAACAUAAGAAAAGGCUCAUCAAACACCAUAUCUUUCAGUUGCUUCAAUAAUUUAAUUUAGCAUACACCUUUUACUUUUGAUAAUGAACAUUUAAACUACCGAUGCUAUCUUUCAUAAGCAAAAUAGGAGUACAGCCCCGUUUCUCCUUAAAAACUAUUUCUUUUUCGGAACUCAUUUUCAAAAUAUUGUUUGGUUAUAGAUUGGGACAAGAGGGGUUGCUCUGAUGGUAAGCAGCCCCCACUUCCAACUGAUAGGUUGUGAGUUCGAGUCUCCCCAAGAGCAAGGUGGGAAGUUCUUAGAGGGAAGGAUAUCAGGGGUCUAUUUGGAAACAGCCUCUCUACCCAAGGAUAAGGGUAAGGUCUGCGUACACACUAUCCUCCCAGACCUCACUUAAUGAAAUUAUACUGGGGUGUUGUUGAAAUGAUAUUCUUCAUGUAUUGUUUAAAUAUCUUCCUUUCCAAGAGCAUGAUAUAAUAUUUUGAUUUUUUCUUGUCCAAUUUAAUUAGGAGACACACUACCCUUCCCAACAGGCUUUGUUUUGAUUACAACCAACCAAUCAGCCUUAUCCCUCCGUAAUGGAUAUGGAGCACAGUACACUUGCCUAACUCUUUCUCCAAUUAUAAAAGGAUCAUAACGGUCAUACUCACUCUUUUUAUUAACCUCAAUUAUGUUGUACUGCGAGUGUACAUUUGUACAUCUUUUAGGUGUUGGGUCAAACCACUUACAUCGGAAAAGUAUGAUCUUCUUAUUUGGCCAACCUGAAUAUGACAAUUCUAGAAUCUCUUUGAUCACACCAUAAUAAU